GUUCUUCAAAAAAUAAGUUCAUCUAUCCCAAUUCACUUUUUCAUAAUCUAUAUGCAACAAUCAUCUUACAAAUAUUAUUUAAUUAUAAUUUAUUAUUCAUCAUAUAUCAUUUCAAGUUCACCUCUCUUCAAUUUUAUCUUUAGUACAAAAUUAUUUAUCUAAUUUAUAAGUUCAAUUAUCCAAAUGUUUUGAUACUAUGCUCAUAUAUUAAAGCAUAGAAACUUGGGGGAAUGUGAUUCCCGCCAAGAGCACACCUCUUUUAUCCAAUGUGUAUUUAUGCCUUUAUUUUGUGUAUGUUGGGCAUUAACCAAUUCUGCAGUCUUGGCUCCAAAAUAUGGAGCCCAAAUUCAAAUUCAAAAAUUUUUGGAGCCCAAAUUUAUUGUUGAUAAAUGUGAGCUUUUUUCUAUAAAUAGGGGACUCUGAUUAUUUCAGAUGACAUUUUCAGCUUGCAAUCUUUCUCUCUCUACUCUUGGUAUCAGCUUGCAAUCUUUCUCCAUUAUUUACUCUUGGUUUCUUUAUUGCUUCUUUAUGCUAUUUUAAUUUUACUGGUGCUAUUUUUCUUUUUAUUCUGUUUAGUUUUUUGUCUGUUUAUUAUUAGUUUCAAUUACAACUAAGAUACAAAUUUAUACACUUUUUUCUACUUUACACACAAAGUCUAAAAAUGUAGCUAAUAUAUCUGAAUUUUUGCAGCAGAUCAAGACCGCAGAAGAUUAAGACUGAAUCUUUCAGUGGAAGUAUUACCACUGAGAUCUGAAGUAUUACCACUGAGAUCUGCAAAAGGCACAAGAAAGUUUACUCUCAGGCUUAUGAAGUUGAAAAAGUUGUAUAAAUCAACAAGGAUGUAUAUCAGUAGCAAAAAAAGUCGAAAGAUAAUGAAUUUGUGUGGAUGUUCAUAGAUCUACAUGCGAAAGAAAAUAAAGAUGUUCAUAGAUCUACAAAAAUCAAAUGCGAAAAACAGACUGCAAACAAGAGCAAAGAUGUUCAUAGAUCUACUGAAUCAGAUGCCAAAAAAUAGUACUGAAAUCAGAUCUGCGAAAAAUAUUUUUUUUGUUUAUAGAUUUUUCAAAAAAUCAGAUGCCCAAAACAGAUAGACAAAAAUCAGGCAAAUGAAGAAAUAUUCUUUGUUGGAAAUAUAUCCAUUAAUUUCUUCAUAAGUUGAAAGACAAAAAGGAAGACAAAAUAUAGAAAAUGAAAGAUAAAGACUUUUGUGAAAUAACUGACAAGACACGGGAGCUCCACAUUCUCUAGCUUAAGUGCAAAAGGGGUGGGGAACAAAAUCAGGAGAUAAAGAAGGAUUAUGCAUAUUCAGUCGUCCUCCAUAUGUUACAUGCAUACAAGCAAAACAUACAAAUUAUUGGAACGAAGGAUGCACAUAAAAUCGGUCAAAUAACAGUUAAUUUCAACUUAACUUUACACAACAAGCUUCUUGGGAUACUUCAGAUCUGCGAAAAAUAUUUUUUUUGUUUAUAGAUUUUUCAAAAAAUCAGAUGCCCAAAACAGAUAGACAAAAAUGCAGAUACCCAAAAUAUCUUACUGUAUUAAACAAGCUGUUGUUUCAAAAUUUGUGGCUAAAUGAAAAAAAAUAAAUCCAUACAGCAAGAAAAAAUAUACAUGGAGAUCGCAAGAAUUAAAGAUGCAGUCGAGGGAGGAGGCCGAGAUCUGGAAGCUAGGGCUGGGCGACGCCGUAGUUUGAAACUCGGACGGCGGCGGCUGGAUAAGGGCUGAGCAGAGGGAGGCAGCGGCUCAUUUAUCGUCGUCGAGGAGAGAGGCGACACCGCGUGGAGCGUCGUCUAGAUGUGAGGCCGGAGUUGGUAGUUUAGGGAUCUAAGGGUUUUCGGACCGCGGCUUGCCGGAUACGGUUGCAGGUUUUUCUCCGGCAGAGGGAGAGAGAGAAGACAUAGAGAGAACGUUUGAGCUUCUCGCCGGCAGGUGGAAGAAAGUCGGCAGAGGGAGAGAGAAGACAAGGGAGAGCACGGAUGGGAGAAGAAAUGAGAGAGAAGAAGCGGCGCUGAACC
rnacentral:lncRNA from 1 species